UACAGAGGUCUCAAGCGUUGUUCGGAUUCAUUGGGCGUAAAGGGUGCGCAGGCGGCCAAGUGUGUGAGGCGUGAAAGCCUGGAGCUUAACUCCAGAAUUGCACCUCAAACUACAUGGCUAGAGCAUUGGAGAGGGUAGCGGAAUUCACGGUGUAGCAGUGAAAUGCGUAGAUAUCGUAAGGAAGACCAGUGGCGAAGGCGGGUCUCUGGACAGUUCCUGACGCUGAGGCACGAAGGUCAGGGGAGCAAACGGG
rnacentral:rRNA from 1 species